rnacentral:lncRNA from 1 species
AGAUGGAAUAUUGCAUACAAGGUUGCACAGCAAGUGUGAUGGGUGGUGACUUAUACCUCAACCCCAACCUUGCAAGUUGGCCAUGUGGUUGUGACAUUUCUUCAUGCCAUUCUCAGAACACCAGUGAACAAAAACGAUGUUGUUUGGGUAGAUUAGCAUUCCUGGGGUUUGAGUCUUUAAAAUGUGGUUGUUUAGAAGUUUGAGAGAGGUUAGUCUUACAGAAAAGCACCUUGGGUUUUGCAUGGCCAUGUUAGCAGGACAAGCAGCACCCAUAGGCUAUCCUGAGUUCCUGACACCAGUGACCUUCCCGGGUUUGGCCCAGCAUGCUUCUCUGUUCCCAACCAGAGCAUGGCUUGGGUAGUGUCCCACUUGCUGGUUUUUGUGCUGGCCUCCACACUGGACCUUGAGAUGCCCUGCCUGUGUAUCAUUUGGCAGCUCAUCUGGCCCCAAAGACCUGAGCAGAUCUGUCCUCUUCCUGCCUGGCCUGCCUCCAAAGUCUGAUGCCUGGUCCUUGUCUUGAUGUUGGCUUGAACUGGACAGUUUCUGUCAUUAUCCUGGCCACACAUUCAAGGUUACUUGAUGGAGAUGCCCUGAGGACUUUGGGAAUCUACAGCGUCUGCCGCAUGCCAGAUAUGACCUCACAGUGAUAAAAAAGUACGUUCUUAGUUCCUGUCCAAAUGUUAGACGACACCAGCAGAAGAACAGCAAAGCCUAGUCUGGGUCAUUUCCUAUGACUACAAAAUCAUUAGAUACAAAAAGGUUGUUCUGCCUUUCUGGAACUUGCAACUCUGAGGCUUCAGCAAGAGGGCGACGCCUGAGCCCCUGCCCAUUUCUCCAAGCAUGCAGGCAUUAUAUAACUGCAUUGACAAACAGCCACCUGUCUCUGGCAGUGUGACCUGAAACCCAUUCUCUGAGACUUGUCUGCGGGCUCUCAGUAUACACUGUAACCGAGGAAAUGCAUGCUUUACAGAUGUUUAUCUCCUAAUUAAGAAUCUGAUGUGCCACUUACGGUAAUGUACUUGCUCAUGCUAAUAGUUUCUCUUUCCUCAGAGGAUCUGCCAGGGCGGAUUUGAUGCAACAAAAGAGAGUGUCCCUGGUGUGUUUUAAUUAGGCUAUUGGUCUCCAGUCAUGGUGAGUACCAGGUGCCAGGCCUGCUGCAAAGCAGUUCAGAUCAACAACCAUCCACUGAUUUCUAUUCUAAGGUGAAUGAGGUAGACUCUGCUUUUGAGGAGCUUUCAGCCUCCAGGGAGGGGGCUUGACAGACACAGAUGACUAAUUAGCAUGCAAGGUGUUCAGUGCUCUAAACCAGUCCUGUGGGCUGAGGACUUGGAAUUCCACUGGAGGCUUGGAGUUUAGU